rfam:Myotis lucifugus cont2.18229, whole genome shotgun sequence.
GGCAGUUCUCGGGUGAUGUACCCCACUAUCGGGCUCCUUCUUCUCUGGUUCCGGGUGCUUCACCCGAGAACCGCA